GGAAUGUUGAAGAUUAACUGCCACUCUUGAGUUGUCCUCUCAAGAUUAAGGAAAUGAAGGUUUUCCUCGAAGUUUGAGGGAAAUUUGAAGGCAGUUGGUUUGGAAAAACAAAACAAAACAAAACAAAACCAUCCAAUGAACAGGGAAGAAGUUGGAGAAAGACUAACUGACAGUAGGAAACUUCAGAAAGCCGGCCAGCAGCCACUGCAUAAAAGGGAAUAUCUACCAGAUUAUGAUUUUGAAGAGGAGAAAGAAGCCAGAGAGAGGGUGAUAAACUGAGGCAGACACACAGAUCAGAUUGCAGGGAGGAACCACACAGAUGAGCUCCUAUUAUCUUUCUUUGUAGGGUACACCGUGAAGAAAGAUUAAAAUAAUCAACAAUAUGUGAAUCAGCUGUGUUUCUGACCCUUUGGACUUUGCUACUAUGCCUCCCUGUGUCAGUUUUCAGCUCCUUUUUCAUGUCAUCUUCUCCCUUUAGAAGAUGAGAAAACUGAGUCAAACAGGGUGAAGUGACUUGACCAGAGUUACACAGCUGUUUGACACUUUUGGUAUAAAGCACUACGGCUGUAGGAAUUCACAUUGAGAGAACAUUGUUGGCUAGAGUGGUCUGUCUAACCAUCCCAGAAGAGGCAGCACUUGAGUUGGGCCUUGAAUGAUUAGGAAGCAUUUGAAUAAGUACAUGUUGGGGGAUGAAGUGGGAUGGGAAUAAGCAUGAGAAAAGAGACAAGUGAAGGAAUAAUCCAGGCUUUUCAUCAUCUGGCUCAUCUUCCCUAAACUCCUUGCAAUUUGUCAAACUCCUUCAGGAUCCCAGAUGCUGAGAAUUCUAAGCUCCAGUAUGUGCUCUAUUAAUGGCCCAUCACCUUUGCAGAGCAUAAUGUCUCAGACUGGAUUGACUCAUAGAUGAGUCAGAAUCUCUCAGCGAUUGCUGCUGGUGCAAAUUGACCCAGCCACAUGACAAAGUACAUUGAUGCCCUGUCUCCCCAAACACUGCCCCACUCUAAGACACUGUAGAGAAAUAGAUGUCAUGCGAAAUGACAACAGGCAGGAGAAAUAACAGGGAAGCCACUGGCCAAAUCCCAGAAUCUGAAAUAAUUCUUCAUUAAGUUUUAAAAAUCAAAUAAACAACCAGUUCUUCU